rnacentral:rRNA from 1 species
AACGAACGCUGGCGGCAUGCCUAACACAUGCAAGUCGAACGAGACCUUCGGGUCUAGUGGCGCACGGGCGCGUAACGCGUGGGAAUCUGCCCUUGGGUUCGGAAUAACAGUUGGAAACGACUGCUAAUACCGGAUGAUGACGUAAGUCCAAAGAUUUAUCGCCCAAGGAUGAGCCCGCGUAGGAUUAGCUAGUUGGUGAGGUAAAGGCUCACCAAGGCGACGAUCCUUAGCUGGUCUGAGAGGAUGAUCAGCCACACUGGGACUGAGACACGGCCCAGACUCCUACGGGAGGCAGCAGUGGGGAAUAUUGGACAAUGGGCGAAAGCCUGAUCCAGCAAUGCCGCGUGAGUGAUGAAGGCCUUAGGGUUGUAAAGCUCUUUACCCGGGAUGAUAAUGACAGUACCGGGAGAAUAAGCUCCGGCUAACUCCGUG